AGCGGUGAUACAUCUUCCAAUGAAGAAAUAGGAAGUACAAGAGAUGCAGAUGAGAAUGAAUUUCUAGGGAAUAUUGACGGGGGAGAUCUGAAGGUACCUGAAGAAGAAGCUGACAGUAUUUCAAAUGAGGAUUCAGCCACAAACAGUAGUGAUAAUGAAGACCCUCAAGUAAACAUUGUAGAAGAGGACCCUUUAAAUUCUGGAGAUGAUGUUAGUGAACAGGAUGUGCCAGACCUGUUUGACACGGAUAAUGUUAUUGUCUGUCAGUAUGAUAAGGCCUAUGCUACUCUGAUUUAAUUAUUAAGAUUUUUAAUGUCUGGUAAGAUUCAUCGAAGCAAGAACAAAUGGAAAUUCUAUUUGAAAGAUGGUGUUAUGUGUUUUGGAGGGAGAGACUAUGUAUUUGCAAAAGCCAUUGGUGAUGCAGAGUGGUAAACCUUGUGAGCUCAGUACAUCUAUUUUGUGAACAUCAGUUGGAUUAUAUUGCAUAUUGUGAAUUCAUUUUUAUUUUGAAUAUAGUCCAGCACAGAGCUGUUCAAAUUUUUAGUUCACUGUAUGGAAUUUAAUAAAAUUAUAAUUCAGAUGCAGAUACAAUUAC
rnacentral:lncRNA from 1 species